UAUAAAAAUGUUAAUACAUAUGAUAUUUCGAAGUUAUCGUAAACGGUCUGUAUAUGUGAAGGAAUAAGAAGCUUUCAAAAUAAUUUAUACUAAUUCGUUAUAGUGCAACCAUCGCUUUACAGUUUUUUUUUAUUAAAAAAGUAUAGAUUUAAUAUGAAUGGGGAUGUGAAAGUGGAUGAAAUAAUUACAUCAUUUAACCCAGAAUACAUGAAGUACGAAGAUGUGAUCUCUUCAGUUUCACAAACGAGAAGGAAGAAAGCACUCAGACGUCUAUUGGAGAUAGCUUGUCUAUGUACUAAAAAAAAGUCAACAGAGGAAAAAAAUGAAAUUUAUGUGGCUUAUAAUCCUUCUUUUAGGAUCCCAAAGAAAGUCUAAUAUUUACAUAAAUGUCAUCAGUUUCUAUAAGUAUUUUGUUUGCUAUAAAAAUGUCGAUUUUUUAUAUAGAUUCCACCAGAUUAGACCAGAAGGUCAAACGAUUAGAUUCAUCAGAAGAUCAAAAGAUAUGCAGCACAUUUCUUUAUUAUCUCCUUACUGAAUGUUUGUGAAUUUGCUUGGUACAUUUAUCUUCAUGCACACACUGAUGCGCAUUACAAAUCGCACCUGUUUUUCAGAACCUGGAAGGGAAAAAAAAAAUUUCAAGGAAAUAUUUUCUCACAAACUUUAUACAUAGUUGAGUAAAGGUCUUUACAAUUUUUUAAAGCACUGGAAUUUAAAGAAAAAUUCAUAAAAACUUUGCAAAAUAAAGAACUAAUGAAUUAUAGGAUCAAAAAUAAUUACGGGUGGUACGGAAGAUACCAUUUUUUAACCAUUACAUUAAUUUAUUUUAAAGCGAGAAUAGUAUUCCUGUAAAAUGUAAAAUCUAAAUGUUAGCCUUCAC